GUGGGGAAUAUUCCGCAAUGGACGAAAGUCUGACGGAGCAACGCCGCGUGAGUGAUGAAGGUUUUCGGACUGUAAAGCUCUGUUGUUUAGGACGAAAGUGCCUGUUGCAAAUAGUUACAGGUAUUGACGGUACUGAACGAGGAAGCCACGGCUAACUACGUGCCAGCAGCCGCGGUAAUACGUAGGUGGCAAGCGUUGUCCGGAAUUAUUGUGCGUAAAGAGCAUGUAGGCGGGAAUAUAAGUCUGUUGUGAAAAUGCGGGGCUCAACCCCGUAGUGCGAUGGAAACGGGGGUUCUUGAGUGCAGGAGAGGAAAGGGGAAUUCCCAGUGUAGCGGUGAGAUGCGUAGAUAUUGGGAGGAACACCAGUGGCGAAGGCGCCUUUCUGGACUGUGUCUGACGCUGAGAUGCGAAAGCCAGGGUAGCGAACGGGAUUAGAAACCCUGGUAGUCC
rnacentral:rRNA from 1 species